UACGUAGGUGGCGAGCGUUGUCCGGAUUUACUGGGCGUAAAGCGCGCGUAGGUGGCUUUCUAAGUCCUGUCGUGAAAGGUCGUGGCCCAACUGCGACACUGCGGAGGAUACUGGGAAGCUUGAGGGCAGCAGAGGCCGGUGGAAUUCCCGGUGGAGUGGUGAAAUGCGUAGAGAUCGGAAGGAACGCCCGUGGCGAAAGCGAGCUCCUGGACGUUCACUGACGCUGAGACGCGAAAGCCAGGGGAGCGAACGGG
rnacentral:rRNA from 1 species